UGACUGUACAAAGGUAGCAUAAUCAUUAGUCAUUUAAUUGAUGACUUGUAUGAAGGAUUGGAUGAAAUAUAAACUGUCUCUUAAUUAUUGAAUAGAAUUUAAUUUUUUAAUUAAAAAGUUAAAAUAUAUUAAAAAGACGAGAAGACCCUAUAGAUUUUUAUAAAAAAUUUAGUUAAUAUUAUUUAUGAAAAAUUAAAAUUAAAAUUAAAUUUAUUUAUUGUAUUGGGGUGAUAGAAAAAUAUAAAAAACUUUUUAUAUAUUAAAACAUUUAUAAGUGGUUAAAUGAUCCAAUAUUAUUGAUUAUAAGAAAAAAUUACCUUAGGGAUAACAGCGUAAUUUUUUUUUUUAGUUCGUAUAAGAAAAAGAGUUUGCGACCUCGAUGUUGGAUUAAGAUAAAAUUUAAAUGCAGAAG
rnacentral:rRNA from 1 species